rnacentral:rRNA from 1 species
GACGAACGCUGGCGGCGUGCUUAACACAUGCAAGUCGAACGGAAAGGCCCCUUUGGGGGUACUCGAGUGGCGAACGGGUGAGUAACACGUGAGUAACCUGCCCUUGACUUCGGGAUAACUUCAGGAAACUGGGGCUAAUACCGGAUAGGAAUCCUUGCUGCAUGGUGGGGGUUGGAAAGCUUCGGCGGUUUUGGAUGGACUCGCGGCUUAUCAGCUUGUUGGUGGGGUAGUGGCUUACCAAGGCUUUGACGGGUAGCCGGCCUGAGAGGGCGACCGGCCACAUUGGGACUGAGAUACGGCCCAGACUCCUACGGGAGGCAGCAGUGGGGAAUAUUGCACAAGGGGCGGAAGCCUGAUGCAGCAACGCCGCGGGCGGGAGGACGGCCUUCGGGUUGUAAAACGCUUUCAGCAGGGGCGAAGCUUGUGGUGACGGUACCUGCAGAAGAAGCACCGGCUAACUACGUG